UGGGGAAUAUUGCACAAUGGGCGCAAGCCUGAUGCAGCCAUGCCGCGUGUAUGGAGAAGGCCUUCGGGUUGUAAAGUACUUUCAGCGAGGAGGAAGGCGUUGUGGUUAAUAACCGCAACGAUUGACGUUACUCGCAGAAGAAGCACCGGCUAACUCCGUGCCAGCAGCCGCAGUAAUACGGAGGGUGCAAGCGUUAAUCGGAAUUACUGGGCGUAAAGCGCACGCAGGCGGUCUGUCAAGUCGGAUGUGAAAUCCCCGGGCUCAACCUGGGAACUGCAUCCGAAACUGGCAGGCUAGAGUCUUGUAGAGGGGGGUAGAAUUCCAGGUGUAGCGGUGAAAUGCGUAGAGAUCUGGAGGAAUACCGGUGGCGAAGGCGGCCCCCUGGACAAAGACUGACGCUCAGGUGCGAAAGCGUGGGGAGCAAACA
rnacentral:rRNA from 1 species